GGCCUGGCUGGGUGGUCUGCUUCGGUUUGUACUGCUCGGCCGGGCCUUACCUCUUGGUGAGCCGGCAUGUCCUUAAUUGGGUGUGUCGGGGAACCAGGACUUUUACCUUGAGAAAAUUAGAGUGUUCAAAGCAGGCCUACGCCCGAAUAUGUUAGCAUGGAAUAAUAAAAUAGGACGUGCGGUUCUAUUUUGUUGGUUUCUAGAGUCGCCGUA
rnacentral:rRNA from 1 species